rnacentral:rRNA from 1 species
UCGGGAAUUUUGGGCAAUGGGCGAAAGCCUGACCCAGCAACGCCGCGUGAGGGAUGAAGUAUUUCGGUAUGUAAACCUCGAAAGAAUGGGAAGAAUAAAUGACGGUACCAUUUAUAAGCUCCGGCUAACUACGUGCCAGCAGCCGCGGUAAUACGUAGGGAGCAAGCGUUGUUCGGAUUUACUGGGCGUAAAGGGCGCGUAGGCGGCGCGGUAAGUCACUUGUGAAAUCUCUGAGCUUAACUCAGAACGGCCAAGUGAUACUGCUGUGCUAGAGUGCGGAAGAGGCAACCGGAAUUCUUGGUGUAGCGGUGAAAUGCGUAGAUAUCAAGAGGAACACCUGAGGCGAAGGCGGGUUGCUGGGCCGACACUGACGCUGAUGCGCGA